GUUGCUGCUAAACAAGGAGAAUCAGACCCCGAGAGGAAAGAGACGCGGCAGAAAGUGGACGAUGACAGGAAGCAUGAGAUUGAGGCAGCCAUUGUCCGAAUCAUGAAGUCAAGGAAGAAGAUGCAGCACAAUGUCCUGGUGGCGGAGGUAACACAACAGCUCCGGUCACGUUUUCUUCCGAGCCCUGUCGUAAUUAAAAAGCGUAUAGAAGGACUAAUAGAAAGAGAAUACUUGGCACGGACGCCAGAAGAUCGCAAAGUGUACACCUACGUUGCAUAGAAGAUGGACUGUGGAUGAGAGGACUGGACGGGGGGGGAUGGGAUUUGUUUGUUUUCUUUGGACUGUUGUUACGCAUGGACUGGAAGUUUCUUUUAAAGACAAAUGCUGGGAACCUGAUUCCUCCUCCCUUACAAAAACACAGUAAAUGCGGAAUUAAAUGUUGGCGCAGAAAUAAAAUCCAUCAAAACUUGUAGACGAUUUUUAAAUCAGGCCCAGUCUUCCUAUUCCCUGUGAGUUUUAACAUGGAUGGAUCCAGCUUCAAGCUUUUCACUGUUUUACCCUUGUAGAGAUCAAACUUGCAAAGAAUCCCUUGGGAAAAUGUGAAUGCACCACAUUAUUUUUUUGUUUCAAUACUGUAUAAAAAUAAUAAAAUUAUUAAAAACA